GAUGAACGCUGGCGGCGUGCCUAAUACAUGCAAGUCGAGCGAACAGACGAGGAGCUUGCUCCUCUGACGUUAGCGGCGGACGGGUGAGUAACACGUGGAUCACCUACCUAUAAUACUGGGAUAACUUCGGGAAACCGGAGCUAAUACCAGAUAAUAUAUUGAACCGCAUGGUUCAAUAGUGAAAGACGGUUUUGCUGUCACUUAUAGAUGGAUCCGCGCCGCAUUAGCUAGUUGGUAAGGUAACGGCUUACCAAGGCGACGAUGCGUAGCCGACCUGAGAGGGUGAUCGGCCACACUGGAACUGAGACACGGUCCAGACUCCUACGGGAGGCAGCAGUAGGGAAUCUUCCGCAAUGGGCGAAAGCCUGACGGAGCAACGCCGCGUGAGUGAUGAAGGUCUUCGGAUCGUAAAACUCUGUUAUUAGGGAAGAACAAAUGUGUAAGUAACUAUGCACGUCUUGACGGUACCUAAUCAGAAAGCCACGGCUAACUACGUG
rnacentral:rRNA from 1 species